rnacentral:rRNA from 1 species
AAGGACCGGCUAAUUCCGUGCCAGCAGCCGCGGUAAUACGGAAGGUCCGGGCGUUAUCCGGAUUUAUUGGGUUUAAAGGGAGCGUAGGCCGGAGAUUAAGCGUGUUGUGAAAUGUAGAUGCUCAACAUCUGCACUGCAGCGCGAACUGGUUUCCUUGAGUACGCACAAAGUGGGCGGAAUUCGUGGUGUAGCGGUGAAAUGCUUAGAUAUCACGAAGAACUCCGAUUGCGAAGGCAGCUCACUGGAGCGCAACUGACGCUGAAGCUCGAAAGUGCGGGUAUCGAACAGGAUUAGAUACCCUGGUAGUCCGCACGGUAAACGAUGGAUGCCCGCUGUUGGUCUGAAUAGGUCAGCGGCCAAGCGAAAGCAUUAAGCAUCCCACCUGGGGAGUACGCCGGCAACGGUGAAACUCAAAGGAAUUGACGGGGGCCCGCACAAGCGGAGGAACAUGUGGUUUAAUUCGAUGAUACGCGAGGAACCUUACCCGGGCUUGAAUUGCAGAGGAAGGAUUUGGAGACAAUGACGCCCUUCGGGGCCUCUGUGAAGGUGCUGCAUGGUUGUCGUCAGCUCGUGCCGUGAGGUGUCGGCUUAAGUGCCAUAACGAGCGCAACCCCUCUCCUUAGUUGCCAUCAGGUCAAGCUGGGCACUCUGGGGACACUGCCACCGUAAGGUGUGAGGAAGGUGGGGAUGACGUCAAAUCAGCACGGCCCUUACGUCCGGGGCUACACACGUGUUACAAUGGCAGGUACAGAGAGCCGGUCGUAUGCAAAUACGAUCCAAUCCUUAAAGCCUGUCUCAGUUCGGACUGGGGUCUGCAACCCGACCCCACGAAGCUGGAUUCGCUAGUAAUCGCGCAUCAGCCAUGGCGCGGUGAAUACGUUCCCGGGCCUUGUACACACCGCCCGUCAAGCCAUGAAAGCCGGGGGCGCCUAAAGUCCGUGACCGUAAGGAGCGGCCUAGGGCGAAACUGGUAAUUGGGGCUAAGUCGUAACAAGGUAGCCGUACCGGAAGGUGCGGCUG